UACCAGCACCCCGAGUGUUCGGGACUUUUAUUGGGCCUAAAGCAUCCGUAGCCGGUUCUGCAAGUCUUCCGUUAAAUCCACCUGCUUAACAGAUGGGCCGCGGAAGAUACUAUAGAGCUAGGAGGCGGGAGAGGCAAGCGGUACUCGAUGGGUAGGGGUAAAAUCCGUUGAUCCAUUGAAGACCACCAGUGGCGAAGGCGGCUUGCCAGAACGCGCUCGACGGUGAGGGAUGAAAGCUGGGGGAGCAAACCGG
rnacentral:rRNA from 1 species